rnacentral:tRNA from 1 species
GGUUGUAGCCCAGAGGAAGAGCAUUCGCCCAGCAUGCGAGAGGCCCUGGGUUUGAUCCUCAGCACCA